GACGAAUGCUGGCUGCGUGCUUAACACAUGCAAGUCGAACGGUGAAGGAGGGCUUGCCCUCCGGAUCAGUGGCGAACGGGUGAGUAACACGUGGGCAACCUGCCCCUCACUCUGGGAUAACGCCGGGAAACCGGCGCUAAUACCGGAUACGACCAGGCGCGACAUCUCGCCUGGUGGAAAGAAUUUCGGUGAGGGAUGGGCCCGCGGCCUAUCAGCUAGUUGGUGGGGUAACGGCCCACCAAGGCGACGACGGGUAGCCGGCCUGAGAGGGCGACCGGCCACACUGGGACUGAGACACGGCCCAGACUCCUACGGGAGGCAGCAGUGGGGAAUAUUGCGCAAUGGGCGAAAGCCUGACGCAGCGACGCAGCGUGAGGGACGAAGGCCUUCGGGUUGUAAACCUCUUUCAGCGGGGACGAAGCGAAAGUGACGGUACCUGCAGAAAAAGCACCGGCUAACUACGUGCCAGCCGCCGCAGUAAGAC
rnacentral:rRNA from 1 species